rnacentral:lncRNA from 10 species
AACCUUAAGAAAGAUGGCUGCUGUGCCUACUAUAAAUGCGGAAUCGGGGCUAGCUGAAUCCAUCUUUAUCGUGGGCAUGUUGUUAGACUAGAAGACAAUAUGCAUGAGUCAGGAGAUUAAACAGGUUUCUCCUCAAAUUCCGCUACGUUUGUGUUGAGUCCUAGUUUCUGUCUGGGGAGACAGCCUUCCCGCGGCUUUUGCCCGUUUCACGUUUCUGUUACUUAGGAAAAGGAAAAGGAUUCGUUGCAAAGAUCAUUUGGAGAAUUUCUCUGUUUGUUUGCUUCAUUUCUGUGCACCAAGCAGGGAAUAUAAAAAUAAAAAGAUGAAUAAGCCGCAGGCCCUGCCAUUCUGGUACUCUCAAUGUGGCAAGGCAGGUACGCAGGCAAAUAUGUAUGAUAGAGUUGUAUAUUAAGCAAAGGUCGAAGAAGAUAAGCUGCUCAUCUUGCUGGAGCGUUUAAGAAUGGGACGCUAAAAAGCCGGUUGAGUACUGGAGAGGCGAUCAAGCAUAGGUUAUGGAGCACCCUGUUCUGGCAUCUGUGUACUUAACGGUUGAGCUGGCUGGAGUGGGAGGCCAGAAGAUGAAAGGCCUUGAAUGCUAUGCUGAGGAGUUUGAGUUGAUUCUGUAGGCUAAAG